rnacentral:rRNA from 1 species
AUCAGAUUGAACGCUGGCGGCAUGCCUUACACAUGCAAGUCGAACGGCAGCACGGGAGCAAUCCUGGUGGCGAGUGGCGAACGGGUGAGUAAUACAUCGGAACGUGCCCAGUUGUGGGGGAUAGCCCGGCGAAAGCCGGAUUAAUACCGCAUACGACCUACGGGUGAAAGCGGGGGAUCGCAAGACCUCGCGCAAUUGGAGCGGCCGAUGGCAGAUUAGCUUGUUGGUGGGGUAAAAGCCUACCAAGGCGACGAUCUGUAGCUGGUCUGAGAGGACGACCAGCCACACUGGGACUGAGACACGGCCCAGACUCCUACGGGAGGCAGCAGUGGGGAAUUUUGGACAAUGGGCGCAAGCCUGAUCCAGCCGUGCCGCGUGUGGGAAGAAGGCCUUCGGGUUGUAAACCACUUUUGUCAGGGAAGAAACGGUCUGAUCUAAUAAAUCGGACUAAUGACGGUACCUGAAGAAUAAGCACCGCCUAACUACGUGCCAGCAGUCGCGGUAAUACGUAGGGUGCAAGCGUUAAUCGGAAUUACUGGGCGUAAAGCGUGCGCAGGCGGCUAUGCAAGACAGAUGUGAAAUCCCCGGGCUCAACCUGGGAACUGCAUUUGUGACUGCAUGGCUAGAGUACGGCAGAGGGGGAUGGAAUUCCGCGUGUAGCAGUGAAAUGCGUAGAUAUGCGGAGGAACACCGAUGGCGAAGGCAAUCCCCUGGGCCUGUACUGACGCUCAUGCACGAAAGUGUGGGGAGCAAACAGGAUUAGAUACCCUGGUAGUCCACGCCCUAAACGAUGUCAACUGGUUGUUGGACGGCUUGCUGUUCAGUAACGAGGCUAACGCGUGAAGUUGACCGCCUGGGGAGUACGGCCGCAAGGUUGAAACUCAAAGGAAUUGACGGGGACCCGCACAAGCGGUGGAUGAUGUGGUUUAAUUCGAUGCAACGCGAAAAACCUUACCUACCCUUGACAUGUCUAGAAGUUUCCAGAGAUGGAUUCGUGCUCGAAAGAGAACUAGAACACAGGUGCUGCAUGGCCGUCGUCAGCUCGUGUCGUGAGAUGUUGGGUUAAGUCCCGCAACGAGCGCAACCCUUAUCAUUAGUUGCUACGCAAGGGCACUCUAAUGAGACUGCCGGUGACAAACCGGAGGAAGGUGGGGAUGACGUCAGGUCAUCAUGGCCCUUAUGGGUAGGGCUACACACGUCAUACAAUGGCCGGUACAGAGGGCUGCCAACUCGCGAGAGGGAGCUAAUCUCAGAAAACCGGUCGUAGUCCGGAUCGCAGUCUGCAACUCGACUGCGUGAAGUCGGAAUCGCUAGUAAUCGCGGAUCAGCUUGCCGCGGUGAAUACGUUCCCGGGUCUUGUACACACCGCCCGUCACACCAUGGGAGCGGGUUCUGCCAGAAGUAGUUAGCCUAACCGCAAGGAGGGCGAUUACCACGGCAGGGUUCGUGACUGGGGUGAAGUCGG